rnacentral:lncRNA from 1 species
AAAAAAAAAAAACUUUCAAUUGGGCUCUUGAUCAUAAUCAGAUAUGACAGAAAUUAUGGUGAUUUUCGACUUCGACAAGACUAUUAUCGAUAUAGAUAGCGAUAAUUGGGUGGUUGAUGAACUGGGUGCUACUGACUUGUUUAAUCAACUUCUUCCAACCAUGCCUUGGAAUUCUAUGAUGGUAAGUUUUCAACUUUUGAUUUACACAUUAUUUCCGACUUUAACUUAGCAACGAGGGAUAUAGUAUUAUGACUUGAGAUUCCAUCUUAGAAGUUCAACUGGUUUAUGUUUUUAUUGGGAUUUUAUUCUUUAAAAAAAGUUAUUACAGGUUUUUAAGGUAGAAGUUGUCAACAUAAUUUAUACAAUGUACAAAUGUAAACAUGUUCAUAUGUUUUGAAUUUUUUUCCUAAUUGAGUUUCUAAUCAAUGGGUUUUUGAAUUUGUUUGUCAUUACAGGACAGGAUGAUGAAAGAGCUUCAUGCAGAAGGGAAAACCAUUGAAGACAUUGAAGAUGUACUAAAAAGGGUCCCAAUACAUCCCAGAGUAGUCCCAGCCAUCAAAACAGCUCAUUCUUUAGGGUAAAUUUUGCAGAGUUUGGGGAUAAAAAAUUCUUACAUUAUGCGGUUUUCGAUACGUUUUUAUUGAUAGAAUUCGAUGGAAAAUUUCUAUUCUAGGUGUGAUUUGAGGGUAGUCAGUGAUGCAAAUCUCUUCUUUAUUGAAACAAUCUUGAAUCAUCUUGGAAUAAGGGAAUGUUUUACUGAAAUCAACACAAAUCCAAGCUACGUAGAUGAAGAAGGAAGGCUAAGAAUUUUCCCAUUUCAUGAUUUUCAUUCAUCUUCUCAUGGCUGCAAUCUCUGCCCUCCAAACAUGUGCAAGGUAUAUAUACUAAUUUCAUCCCAUGUUUUUCUUGUUAUAUAUUAUGGGAUUAUAGUCACUAGUCGAUCCCAAAAGAAAUGGAUCUUUCACCACGAGUUCAAAUAGAGAUAAGAGACAGGAACCAAAAAAAAAAAAAAAAACUGAAAAAAUAAUUGCAAUAACUUUAUUACUAAUCCCAGUUCAAGAACAAUUCCAUGAAGAAUUUAUUCAUUCUAGAAUAUGCUGGAAUGUGGCCUAAUUAAACUCAACAAUUAUCCUUGUUAAUUGAUUAAUAUUAGCUUAAAAAACAAUUUUGGAAAGAUGGUGACACAUUAAGAACAAAUCAAUAUAUUUUAUUUAAUCAUAUAUAUUUUUUAAUUUUUUUGGUUUUGUUUUAAGCAGGGAAAGAUUAUAGAGAGGAUUCAAGCCUCUUUAGCUAUAGAAGGGCAGAAAAGAAUAAUCUAUCUUGGCGAUGGAAGGGGUGACUUUUGUCCGAUGUCGAAGCUUAAGGAAGUAGAUUACGUAAUGCCGAGGAAGAAUUUCCCGGUUUGGGAACUGAUAUCGAAAAAUCCUGAACUUGUAAAAGCAGAAAUCCACGAAUGGACUGAUGGGGUUGAGCUCGAACGUAUUCUGCUAAAUCUUAUCAAGAAAAUUAAGGUUCAAGACUCGAUUCAACAGUUAUCGGUUGAUUGCAAGUUCGAGACUAUUCCUAUGGCUGUUCAUGAGCCAUUGAUGCCUGCCCUUCCAGUUAACCAGUAGCUUGAUAGUUUAAAUUUUCUAAAUUUCUGCUACUGUCACUGGCAAAAUGUUGUAGAUUCUUAUAGUCGACAUAAAACAUUUUUUGGUCUAAUUUUUGUUGGAAAAUGGUUUCAAGUGAGCAUCUUUGAGGUCAAUUUAGAGUGGGGUCCGUAAUUCAAAAUUAAUUAGAUCAAACAUAUUCAUGUUUUAUUUUGCGAAAGGAU